rnacentral:rRNA from 1 species
UGGGGAAUAUUGCACAAUGGGGGAAACCCUGAUGCAGCGACGCCGCGUGAACGAAGAAGGUAUUCGUAUCGUAAAUUUCUGUCCUAUGGGAAGAUAAUGACAGUACCAUAGAAGAAAGCUCCGGCUAAAUACGUGCCAGCAGCCGCGGUAAUACGUAUGGAGCGAGCGUUGUCCGGAAUUAUUGGGCGUAAAGGGUACGCAGGCGGUUUAAUAAGUCGAAUGUUAAAGAUCGGGGCUCAACCCCGCAAAGCAUUGGAAACUGAUAAACUUGAGUAGUGGAGAGGAAAGUGGAAUUCCUAGUGUAGUGGUGAAAUACGUAGAUAUUAGGAGGAAUACCAGUAGCGAAGGCGACUUUCUGGACACAAACUGACGCUGAGGUACGAAAGCGUGGGGAGCAAACAGG